GACGGGGGAUGCGAGCGUUAUCCGGAAUGAUUGGGCGUAAAGGGUCCGCAGGUGGCCCGGUCAGUCCGCUGUCAAAGCCUGGGGCUCAACCCUGGAGAGGCGGCGGAGACCACCGGGCUUGAGUCCGGUAGGGGCAGAGGGAAUUCCUGGUGUAGCGGUGAAAUGCGCAGAUAUCAGGAGGAACACCGGUGGCGAAGGCGGGUCUCUGGGCCGAUACUGACGCUGAGGAGCGAAAGCGUGGGGAGCGAACAGG
rnacentral:rRNA from 1 species